rnacentral:rRNA from 1 species
CGGAUCGCAGGCUGCAACCCGCCUGCGUGAAGUUGGAAUUGCUAGUAAUCGCGGAUCAGCAUGCCGCGGUGAAUACGUUCCCGGGCCUUGCACACACCGCCCGUCACACCAUGGGAGCCGGUAAUACCCGAAGUCAGUAGUCCAACCUCGUGAGGACGCUGCCGAAGGUAGGAUUGGCGACUGGGGUGAAGUCGUAACAAGGUAAC